AUCUUCCAUUAGGAGGAAGGUGGAUCUUAGGACUAUGACUAGCUUCACAAGGCCUCAUCCAACAAUGCUCAAGGAGCAUAAGUAUUGGUACGAGCAGAGACAAUUGCAAGCAAGCAAAGCUUCUAAGUACUUGAUAGUCAACUUUAAAGACCACGCAAUAGCACGUAUCUAGUAGGAUAGUGAUUACGGAUAUCGAUCCACAGGGAUUGGGGUACAGUUGUUUUCUUAAAAAUAUUUGAAAAAAGGGAAUUUGUGAAGACUAUUAAACUAAGCAAUUUAAUAAGAAAUGCAAUUAAAAUGAUAUCAGUUUGAGGGAACCUAGGGCAAGGAAUUCACCACUAACAUCGGAACAAGGGUUAAUUGUAUUUUAAUUUAUUCUUGGAUUAACAUGCAAAUUGGCUACAAGUCUAAUAAACAUUCAAAUAAAUUCUCACAAAAGUAAUUUAGGAACAUCCAUCUUCGGUUGGCAUGAAAUGUCUAUCCUAAACUAAUGUGGCAGGAUACUGCAUCUUUCCUAAGCAUGGGUGAUCUUUUAUUAACUUAGUGAUCAUAAAGAACAGUUGUAUAAACGUCAUACUUAAAAUCACAGAAAUUAAAUAUGAGUUAAAAGAAGAUAUCCAUUAAAAACAAUAAGUUCAUACAACUCCAAGAAUAUAAAAUCAAAAAUAUAAAAUCCUUAGCCCUUUGUUAGGGUUGCAUCCAGCCCUAGUGAAGAGAUUAGCCUUCCAUGAAGAGUUGAACAGCUGCACUGCAAGGGAACUUUAUGAUGAUUGGCUCCUUCCUCCCGUCGGCUCCCUCUCAACAAAUCAUCAUCUCUGCCUUUGGGAAAUUAUUCCCAAAGUACCCAAACUCUUCUCCCUCCUCUGUUUCCCGUAGGGCUUCCCGAAGAACUAAUAAAGGAUGGGAUCGGCCUUGGUCUGUGAAAGAUUGAAUGGUGAGAAAGAAUGGGACAGAAGAAUGCCUCCUCCCCUUCACAUCUUGACUCCUUUUAUAGGCUGCCCCCCACCCCUCUCUCCUCCUCUGUGGCUGAUCCGAAUGGGAAGAUAGGGCUGUGGAGGCUUCAUCCCUUCCGCGGAUGAUGGGAGAUCUUGCCAUAUCUAAUCCGGACGUUGAGAAGAGGAUACGCUGGAGCUGGCUGAUACACUUCUUCAACGCGGAGGAACUUGGAUUCGGUUUGUGCAGUUGGCUGGGAUCAAUCCGAGAUGCACAGAUGCGGAAGGGGCUGAGACUUAUCCAUGGAAAUAAUCGGAAGAAGUUGGUGCUGAUGAAGACGAGCUGGACGCGUGGAAGGAGCGGAAGAAGGUAAUGAUCCGUGGAUGAAACGAGAUGGGCAAUGGAGUCGGAUCCAUGCGGACAGUGGAUGGAUGCUGCUGGUUUGAGCUGUGAUAAGAUGAUAUGAGCUAGGAGCAGGGGAUUUUGUUUGGAUAAGGAUGGAAGAGAGAGCUAGAAUCGGCUGGGAGUUGAUCUUGCGAACGGAGAGAAAGUUGGGACUCGGCUAGCAGCUGGAUAAGGAUGAUCCGGAACAGGGGAUACAGAAGAAACUGGUGACGUUAAGAAUGGAUGGAUUCUGAACGGGAUCUGGGACGGCUGGGAGGAAAUUCGGAAAUGCUUCGAUUUGAAUCCGCGAGGGGGAGCAGCUGGUGGUUGCUGGUUCUCAUCCGAAAGGGGAGUUGGCUUGGUUUGGAAGAAGGAUACGGUUGGAAACAGAGGAUCUUUGGACAUGGGAGGAAGAUGGAGUUGAUCCGGAUGUUGGGACUCUGUUCCGAAAUAAGAGAAGGCUGUGAGCUCAUCCGUGGAUAGGGGCGGGAUGAUGUGGAAGCCAAUCUUGGACGGAAGGAAAGAUACGCUCUGUUUUAAGGCAGGGGAAAACGUGUGGAUUUGGUUGGGAGGAAUUUUUGGUUUUGUUCGUGGGUCACGGGAGGAUGAAGCCGAGAAAGCUGGGGAAAUAGCAUGUGAGACUUGUUGGAGCUGUGAAUCGGCUGGGGUCAAUCUAGAUACGUGAGAGGAAUUACAG
rnacentral:lncRNA from 1 species